UCCUUUAAAUGUUUUUCCAAAAAUCUAAGCCAAUCGCAAUAGAUCUUGAAUUUACCGAUUGCGCGCUCUGUAGAUUUGAAUUUUUAGUCUGCAAUCUGUAUCGUCACUCCUUGUGAUGUUAAGUUUGUAGAUUGUUGAUAGUUAGCAAUAACAGAUCGUCAAACUUAAGAAGAUACAAUAGCUUCGACAUUUCAAUACAAUUUCAGCACUGUCGGAGUAGUGAUAUAACGUCAAUAUGGAGGAUCUCU
rnacentral:lncRNA from 1 species